CCUUCGAUAGCUCAGUUGGUAGAGCGGUGGACUGUAGUUGAUAAGUGCCAGUAAUCCAUAGGUCGCUGGUUCGAAUCCGGCUCGAAGGA
rnacentral:tRNA from 1 species